rnacentral:rRNA from 1 species
AUUGAACGCUGGCGGCAGGCUUAACACAUGCAAGUCGAGCGGGGACUUCGGUCCUAGCGGCGAACGGGUGAGGAAUGUUUGGGAAUCUGCCCAGUAGCGGGGGAUAACGUUUCGAAAGGAGCGCUAAUACCGCAUACGCCCUACGGGGGAAAGGGGGGGAUCUUCGGACCUCUCACUAUUGGAUGAGCCCAAGUCGGAUUAGCUAGUUGGUGGGGUAAAGGCCUACCAAGGCGACGAUCCGUAGCUGGUCUGAGAGGAUGAUCAGCCACACUGGAACUGAGACACGGUCCAGACUCCUACGGGAGGCAGCAGUGGGGAAUAUUGGACAAUGGGCGAAAGCCUGAUCCAGCCAUGCCGCGUGUGUGAAGAAGGCCUUCGGGUUGUAAAGCACUUUAAGCGAGGAGGAAUGGCUCUGGGUUAAUACCCUUGAGCAGUGACGUUACUCGCAGAAUAAGCACCGGCUAACUCUGUGCCAGCCGCCGCCGUAAAAC